GACGUAGGGCGCGAGCGUGUCCGGAUUUAUUGGGGCGUAAAAGAGCUCGUAGGCGGCUCGUUGCGUCAAUCGUGAAAACCUACUGCUUAACGGUGGGCUUGCGGUUGAUACGGGCGGGCUGGAGUUCGGUAGGGGGAGACUGGAAUUCCUGGUGUAGCGGUGAAAAUGCGCAGAUAUCAGGGAGGGAAACACCGGUGGCGAAGGC
rnacentral:rRNA from 1 species